rnacentral:rRNA from 1 species
AUUGAACGCUGGCGGCAUGCCUUACACAUGCAAGUCGAACGGCAGCACGGGUGCUUGCACCUGGUGGCGAGUGGCGAACGGGCGAGUAAUAUAUCGGAACGUACCUUAUUGUGGGGGAUAACGCAGCGAAAGCUGUGCUAAUACCGCAUAAUCCCUUAGGGGGAAAGCGGGGGACCGUAAGGCCUCGCGCAAUUAGAGCGGCCGAUACCUGAUUAGCUAGUUGGUGAGGUAAAGGCUCACCAAGGCGACGAUCAGUAGCUGGUCUGAGAGGACAAUCAGCCACACUGGGACUGAGACACGGCCCAGACUCCUACGGGAGGCAGCAGUGGGGAAUUUUGGACAAUGGGGGCAACCCUGAUCCAGCAAUGCCGCGUGAGUGAAGAAGGCCUUCGGGUUGUAAAGCUCUUUUGUCAGGGAAGAAACAGCAGCUCUAACACAGUAUGCGAAUGACGGUACCUGAAGAAUAAGCACCGGCUAACUACGUGCCAGCCGCCGCAGUAA